ensembl:piRNA 21ur-4622 ncRNA
UCGAUCUUCAAAACAGUUGCU